rnacentral:rRNA from 1 species
GGUGGGGAUGACGUCAAGUCCUCAUGGCCCUUAUGGGUGGGGCUCACACGUCAUACAAUGGUCGGGACAGAGGGUCGCCAACCCGCAGGGGGAGCCAAUCCCAGAAACCCGAUCGUAGUCCGGAUUGCAGGCUGCAACUCGCCUGCAUGAAGUCGGAAUCGCUAGUAAUCGCGGAUCAGCAUGUCGCGGUGAAUACGUUCCCGGGUCUU